GACGAACGCUGGCGGCGUGCUUAACACAUGCAAGUCGAACGGUGAAGCCUUCGGGUGGAUCAGUGGCGAACGGGUGAGUAACACGUGAGCAAUCUGCCCUUGACUCUGGGAUAACUUCGGGAAACCGGAGCUAAUACCGGAUAUGACAUCUGGCCGCAUGGUCUGGGUGUGGAAAGAUUUAUCGGUCAAGGAUGAGCUCGCGGCCUAUCAGCUUGUUGGUGGGAA
rnacentral:rRNA from 1 species